rnacentral:rRNA from 1 species
AACGAACGCUGGCGGCGUGCCUAACACAUGCAAGUCGAACGGGAUUAGGGGCUUGCUCCUAAUCUAGUGGCGCACGGGUGAGUAACGCGUAGAUAAUCUGCCUGAUGAUCUGGGAUAACAGUUCGAAAGGACUGCUAAUACCGGAUAAGCCCACGGGUUCUUUGGAAUCUGCGGGAAAAGGGGGGGACCUUUUGGCCUUCUGUCAUCAGAUGAGUCUGCGUACCAUUAGCUAGUUGGUAGGGUAAAGGCCUACCAAGGCGACGAUGGUUAGCUGGUCUGAGAGGAUGAUCAGCCACACUGGAACUGAGACACGGUCCAGACUCCUACGGGAGGCAGCAGUGGGGAAUUUUGGGCAAUGGGCGAAAGCCUGACCCAGCGACGCCGCGUGGGUGAUGAAGGCCUUCGGGUUGUAAAGCCCUGUCAUGCGGAAAGAACAGUUCUGUGGUUAAUACCCGCAGAAUUUGACGGUACCGCAGGAGGAAGCACCGGCUAACUCCGUGCCAGCAGCCGCCGUAAUAC